rnacentral:lncRNA from 1 species
UAAUUUUCUUUUUCUAAGGGGAAUUUUAAAUUGCUGUAUGCAUGGCAGCCAAUGAUCUGGAUCGUCCACUGAACAGGGCGAGUCUAGAUGUGCGGCUGCUGAAUUUCACGACCAUGCGUGCAGUGUGGCCGAGUUAAAGGUAGGUGCUGGCCAUAUCUAUAAAGUUUAGCAUCACAAAUAUCUUCUCGAGAAAUCAUUGGUUGGACUAGAUCUACUAACUCAGUCAACCAUGGACUAGUCCAGCCUUGAACCUGCGCAUGCAAAGAUGGACAAAAAAAAGAGCCGAGGGCUAAGUUGAGGGAGGCUUGUACUUGUUUGGGUAUACUGGACGAGCGCGGCAGGCUAGAGCUGUACUACUUGAGGAUGAUUUGGUAACAGUUAUUGGCCGAUCUAGUAAAGCACCAGCGGUGUGGAUGAUUAUUAUCUACUGCUUAGAGAUAUUUGAGCCAUAAUCUGUGGUAAUGUGGCCUUUCAGGUGAAGCACGUAUACAGAAAGGCCAAUAGGAUUGUAGAUUCGGUGGAAAGAGGGAGUUAACUAAUGCACCCCAAAAUCUAUUAUUUUUUGAUUUUUUAUAUUUUAGAUGUAUCCAUAUCC